rnacentral:ncRNA from 2 species
AGCCUUCACCCCCGUCGAGGUUCUUCGGUUUUGCCACCGAAGCUAAGAGGGAACAGGGUUAUGCCCUGGCUGCCCCCGCAACUGUAAACGACUCGUACCCUUGUGUUGGUCUGCCGCCUGAGCGCGACGGCCCGACCGCCACUGCGUCCGCGCGGGAAGGCGAAGGGAAUGGCCGGCGAGUAUUCGCCAGCCCGGUCGUGAGCCAGGAGACCUGCCUCGCAACGCUUUUGACA